GUGAUUUUCGGGUUAAAUGGGGGAUUUGCGAAGAGAAAACGCGUGAUUUUCGGUUAAAUGGGGGAUUUGCAAAGAGAAAAACCGUGAUUUUUGGGUUAAAUGGGGUAUUUGCAAAGAGAAAACGCGUGAUUUUUGAGUUAAAUGGGGGAUUUGCGAAGAGAAAACGCGUGAUUUUCGGUAAAUGGGGAUUUGCGAAGAGAAAAACGCGUGAUUUUCAGGAUAAAUGGUGUAUUCUCGAAGAGAAAAGACGUGAUGUUCGCUUAAAUGGGGGAUUUGCAAAGAGAAAACGCGUGAUUUUCGGGUUAAAUGGGGGAUUUGCGAAGAGAAAACGCGUGAUUUUCGGGUUAAAUUGGGGAUUUGCGAAGAGAAAACGCAUGAAUUUGGGGUUAAAUGGGGGACUUGCGAAGAGAAAACGCGUGAUUUUUGGUUAAAUGGGGGAUUUGCGAAGAGAAAAGGCGUGAUUUUCGCUUAAAUGGGGGAUUCUCGAAGAGAAAACACGUGAUUUUCGCUUAAAAGAGGGAUUCUCGAAGAGAAAACACGUGAUUUUGGGGUUAAAUGGGGGAUUUGCAAAGGGAAAACGCGUGAUAUUCACUUAAAUGGGGGAUUUGCGAAGAGAAAACGCCUGAUUUUCGCUUAAAUGGGGGAUUUGCGAAGAGAAAACGCGUGAUUUUCGGGUUAAAUGUGGGAGUCUCGAAGAUAAAACGCAUGAUUUUCCCUUAAAUGUGGGAUUUUUGAAGAGAAAAAACGUGGUUUUCAGUAGCAAGGGGGGAUUCUCAAUGAGAAAACGCUUGAUUUUCUCUUAAAUGGGGGAUUUGCGAAGAGAAAACACGUGAUUUUCGCUUAAAUGGGGGAUUUGCAAAAAGAAAGCACGUGAUUUUCGGGUUAAAUUGGGGAUUUGCGAAGAGAAAAUGCAUGAUUUUCUGGUUAAAUGGAAGAGUCUUGAAGAUUAAACGCAUGAUUUUCACUUAAAUGGGGGAUUUGUGAAGAGAAAACGCGGGAUUUUCGCUUAAAUGUGGUAUUUGCAAAGAGAAACCGUGGUUUCGCAUACAUGGGAAAUUUGCAAAUAGAAAAAGCGUGAUUUUUGGGUUAAAUGGGGUAUUUGCAAAGAGAAAACGCGUGAUUUUUGCUUAAAUGGGGGAUUUGCGAAGAGAAAACGCGUGAUUUUCAG
ensembl:lncRNA